rnacentral:rRNA from 1 species
UACGGAGGAUGCGAGCGUUAUCCGGAUUUAUUGGGUUUAAAGGGUGCGCAGGCGGAGGCACAAGUCAGCGGUAAAAUCGCGGGGCUCAACCCCGCUCCGCCGUUGAAACUGUGUCCCUUGAGUGCGCGAAGGGUAGGCGGAAUGCGUGGUGUAGCGGUGAAAUGCGUAGAUAUCACGCAGAACUCCGAUCGCGAAGGCAGCCUACCGGCGCGCGACUGACGCUCAUGCACGAAAGCGUGGGUAUCGAACAGG